rnacentral:lncRNA from 1 species
UAUGUCUCAUAAAAUAAAAACUGUGGAAGUGUGGUUCCCUUAGCAACUGAACUCUCGUAUGUACCUACAGCCUGUGUUGCCAUGCGAUCGGGGUUCAAAAUAGCUCUUUUCAAAAAAUAACAAAUGAAGUGGCCUUACAGUUCUGAUUUUGGUGCUUCUCCUGGUACUGAGCAGAAGUGACAGCUCGCUCUGUUCCUGAGAGUGGUGGCACAAUUAUUUCGGUGGCUGAUGAGGGAUACAGUUCCCUGCAAGGGGCUUAGAAUAUUUUCCCUGUUGUCUUUCUGUGCACUGGAGAGGAGGCGAGAUCUGCAGGUUAGCUCAGAGGUGGCAAGGGAAGGCAGUGGGGAAACAGUACUGCUGCAGUGGGUGUGAGGAAGGGUAGAGAGAGCUCAGAGAUCACAGGGGAGAAGCAAGUAGAAAUGGAAGUGAGUGCAUUAAAAGAAUGGAGAUGAACCAUGUUGGUACUCGGGGAGAAACGGUUCAGAUGGUUUUUAAUUGAGGAAGGGAAGAGAAAAAAAAAGACUGGUAGUUUGAAAUUGCUAUAAAUUAAUUUUGACAAACUUGUUUCAAGGGGAAGUGCUGUGGGAACUGGGGAGAUAAGAGGCGAUUUGAGAGUGUGAAUUGCCAGCACAUCACGCCUGUGACUUCAGACUUGUUCUGUGUAUGUGAUUACCGCGCUGUUGACAACAGUACCUCCUGCUUUGGUGGGAGAGGGCAGAAGUAAGGCCAUGCCUGGGGGCACUUAGCUAACAUGCUCCAACUCCACAGUCUGGUUGCUCAGGUAAGUUGUUGGUGAGCCAUUCCCUUAGAAAUGAGAGUGUGGAGAACAUUCCUUUCUCUGUGUCCAAACGGGUCCAGGUGUGUUGGACAUCAGCUAGCAGAAGUUGCGUGGGUGCAUGGAGAGCAGGGUACAGCACAAGUGCAGGUCUCAGCUCUAUGGUGGUAUUUGGUUGGCAGUGGAAUGGUAAAAACCUUCUAGUCUUAUCAACGUCAGUAACUUCAAUACCUUAAUAUGUGAUAUGGUUAGCUUACAUUGAUUCUAAGAGAGAUGCCGCUCUUUUCUUAAGGAAAAACAAACAAGGAAACACAGAACCUUCUUUGGAAGCAGGAAAGGACAAAAAGGGUUAACUUCAGUAUUGUUAAGGAUUAUGCCUGUGCAUGGAAGUUGUACUGAUUUAACUUAAUCUGAUUAGAAACAGUUGUGAUUAUAUUAGCGCAGCAUUCUUGUAUAGGCAUCCUUAAUUUAGUUUGUCUUGUAUCUAUCUAUUUACCUUAAGUUGAUUCAACACAAAGUGCUCUGAAAUUGAAUUAAAAACAUUUACCCAGGAGGGUUAUACCAUUUUACAUUAUUUUCUGACUCGAUUUAAUUUAGUGUAGCGUAUAUGUAGACAAGACCUUGGGGAAAAGGCUGAUCCUUUUUAUUACUUGCUGAACAGUAUGUCAUGUUUGGCUGCAGCCAUGUGAUUAUGGAAUGAAAGGGCCUGUUGUGGUGCUCGGUGGUGGAGGAUGGGCGCACUGAUCAUUGCAAACCAUUGUACAGCUUGGUCAUUCUUAGCCACAGUGGGUGAUUGUAGAUUGUUCCUCCUUAUAGAGUGGGACUUUCUUGGCUAGUACAGAUGUGAGACCUCUGGUACACUGUCUUGAGGUUGUUCCUUGGCCUGCUAAUAGAUUUGAUGCUGCUUCCCUGACACUGUCUCACCCCAGUAUGCAUGUGCCUCCGUGUGAACGGUGACUUCGGCUCCUACAAAACUGCUGGUGAAGGAAGAAGUCAUUCUGUAAGCACUGCCAGUUAACUUUCGUAUUGGAAAGCAUGAACCUAGUUGAUACACUUUGUGUUUUCUCCUGGUGGCUAAAGGUUCUCUGACAACUAAACAAAUGCUCUACAAACCCAAUUGUGUGGGUAAUAUUUCAGAAUGAAGUUGGCUGCUCUGAACAGCUGUUUUGUUUUCUGAAAUUUGCUUUUGCUACCACCUGCAAGCAUCAGGGCUGAAAGUCUCUGCAACCUUGCAGGUGUUUUCUAGAUUGGGUCACUGCAACAAACUUGCCCAUCUGUCCUCUCUUAAUUAUGCAAGUGAUGUGCUGUGCUCCAUUGUCAGUCUGUGUAGAUACUGCACAGUGUGUUAGCCAUCUGUGCCUUACUGCAGCUCAUUCGUAUCAGAGGAUAUGUUCUGGAGAGCAAAUUUAGGCAAGCAUGUAGGUUGCAGUAAUGGUGCAUUCUCUAGCACUGCUAUGUUUUCUGCUAGAGGGGCAGCUCAGUGACUUGCAGUCCUUGCAGUUGAGAAGUUGGAGGCUAGAGGUUUCCCAUAACUUCAAAAAAAAUCACGGGCUGAAACAAGAGGACUACUGGUAUUAACUGCUGGGAUGGGAUUUAGGGAAUACUUACAGGUGCUGAGAAGGCCACUUUUCAGUGGCUGAAAAAAUAAGUUUUUCUUAGUUCAUCCUAAUCUAAUCUAAUAUUCGUUCAUUAUGUACUGUUGGAAGGUAACGCUUUCUCCUUUUCUUCCUCUCCUACACAGUGCAGGAACUGGCAGGGGGUCUGGGAAGGGGUUUCCUACAUGUUGAUUUUUCUAGAGACGUGUUCACCCUCUCCCUCCCAUCAGAUGUUUGCUCACCUUAGCCAUCCUCUAGCUUGUGUUUGAGAGGGAAAAUGUAAGGCUGUGACUCCUCAAUUUCCCUCGUGAUCUCCCAGUCUCUGCCAGAUAAAUGUUGUUAGGACAUCAAGAGUUGCUUUUACUAGCUGGAC